rnacentral:rRNA from 1 species
AAAAGUCGUAACAAGGUUUCCGUAGGUGAACCUGCGGAAGGAUCAUUAUCGUACAACCGAGGCGCCAGGGCUGUCGCUGACCUUCAGAGGUCGUGCACGCCCAAAGCGCUCUCACAAUCCAUCUCACACCUUUGUGCAUCACCGCGUGGGUCUCCCUUUGCGGGGAGGGCUUGCGUUUUCACAUAAAACUCGAUAUACAGUGUAGAAUGUUUUAUUUUUGCCAUCAUGCGCAAUCAAUACAACUUUCAACAACGGAUCUCUUGGCUCUCGCAUCGAUGAAGAACGCAGCGAAAUGCGAUACGUAAUGUGAAUUGCAGAAUUCAGUGAAUCAUCGAAUCUUUGAACGCACCUUGCGCCCCUUGGCAUUCCGAGGGGCACACCCGUUUGAGUGUCGUGAAAUCUUCAAAACCCUUUUUUCUCUGAUCCUUUUGGAUCGUGAAAAGGAAUUUUUGGACUUGGAGGUUCAAUGCUUGCUUUCGAUUUCGAAAGCGAGCUCCUCUCAAAUAAAUUAGUGGGGUCCGCUUUGCCGAUCCUUGACGUGAUAAGAUGUUUCUACGUUUUGGAUUUGGCACUGUCCCUUGGAGGCCCGCUCCUAACCGUCCGUCUCGUGGACAAUGAUGGUGCUCCGGUCACCGCCAUCUAUCGUUGGCGGGAGGCUUGACCCACGAAAACAAAACCUUGACCUCAAAUCGGGUGAGACUACCCGCUGAACUUAAGCAUAUCAAUAAGCGGAGGA